AUUGAACGCUGGCGGCAGGCCUAACACAUGCAAGUCGAACGGGAACAGGAAGAAGCUUGCUUCUUUGCUGACGAGUGGCGGACGGGUGAGUCAUGUCUGGGAAACUGCCUGAUGGAGGGGGAUAACUACUGGAAACGGUAGCUAAUACCGCAUAAUGUCGCAAGACCAAAGAGGGGGACCUUCGGGCCUCUUGCCAUCGGAUGUGCCCAGAUGGGAUUAGCUAGUAGGUGGGGUAACGGCUCACCUAGGCGACGAUCCCUAGCUGGUCUGAGAGGAUGACCAGCCACACUGGAACUGAGACACGGUCCAGACUCCUACGGGAGGCAGCAGUGGGGAAUAUUGCACAAUGGGCGCAAGCCUGAUGCAGCUAUGCCGCGUGUAUGAAGAAGGCCUUCGGGUUGUAAAGUACUUUCAGCGGGGAGGAAGGGAGUAAAGUUAAUACCUUUGCUCAUUGACGUUACCCGCAGAAGAAGCACCGGCUAACUCCGUG
rnacentral:rRNA from 1 species